rnacentral:rRNA from 1 species
AGAGUUUGAUCCUGGCUCAGGACGAACGCUGGCGGCGUGCCUAAUACAUGCAAGUCGAGCGGGCCUUUCGGGGUCAGCGGCGGACGGGUGAGUAACACGUGGGCAAUCUGCCCGAUACUCUGGGAUAACGCUUGGAAACGAGUGCUAAUACCGGAUGGUCUUCUUGGCCGCAUGGCCGAGAAGGAAAAGACGCGUUCGCGUCGGUGUCGGAUGAGCCCGCGGCGCAUUAGCUAGUUGGUGAGGUAACGGCCCACCAAGGCGACGAUGCGUAGCCGACCUGAGAGGGUGACCGGCCACACUGGGACUGAGACACGGCCCAGACUCCUACGGGAGGCAGCAGUAGGGAAUCUUCCACAAUGGGCGAAAGCCUGAUGGAGCAACGCCGCGUGAGUGAUGAAGGCCUUCGGGUUGUAAAACUCUGUCAUUCGGGACGAACCGGAGUCUGAGGAAAUGCAGACUCUCUGACGGUACCGGAGGAGGAAGCCCCGGCUAACUACGUGCCAGCAGCCGCGGUAAUACGUAGGGGGCAAGCGUUGUCCGGAUUCACUGGGCGUAAAGCGCGCGCAGGCGGUGAUGUAAGUCUGAGGUGAAAACCCGAAGCUCAACUUCGGGACUGCCUUGGAUACUGCGUCACUUGAGGAUAGGAGAGGCAAGGGGAACUCCACGUGUAGCGGUGAAAUGCGUAGAGAUGUGGAGGAACACCGUGGCGAAGGCGCCUUGCUGGCCUAUUUCUGACGCUGAGGCGCGAAAGCGUGGGGAGCAAACAGGAUUAGAUACCCUGGUAGUCCACGCUGUAAACGAUGAGUGCUAGGUGUAGGUGGGCUCAUACCCAUCUGUGCCGAAGCUAACGCAUUAAGCACUCCGCCUGGGGAGUACGGUCGCAAGACUGAAACUCAAAGGAAUUGACGGGGGCCCGCACAAGCAGUGGAGCAUGUGGUUUAAUUCGAAGCAACGCGAAGAACCUUACCAGGACUUGACAUCCCAUAGACCAGUCUAGAGAUAGACUUUCCCUUCGGGGCUGUGGUGACAGGUGGUGCAUGGUUGUCGUCAGCUCGUGUCGUGAGAUGUUGGGUUAAGUCCCGCAACGAGCGCAACCCUUACUUUGUGUUGCCAGCAUUCAGUUGGGCACUCACAUGGGACUGCCGCCGAUAAGGCGGAGGAAGGUGGGGAUGACGUCAAAUCAUCAUGCCCCUUAUGUCCUGGGCUACACACGUGCUACAAUGGGCGGUACAACGGGAUGCGAAGCCGCGAGGUGGAGCCAAACCCUGAAAACCGUUCGUAGUUCGGAUUGUAGGCUGCAACUCGCCUACAUGAAGCCGGAAUUGCUAGUAAUCGCGGAUCAGCAUGCCGCGGUGAAUCCGUUCCCGGGCCUUGUACACACCGCCCGU